UUUAAAAACACACAUGAUUAGGCAACUACAUCGGCGUAGCGCGUGCUUGUGAUGUCAUUUCGUCAUCAGCAGCGGACAUCUUGGGAUUUGUCGCGACAUUUAGCGCUCUUCAAUUUUCGCGCUCAACUCCUGCACGCUAGAAGUUGGCAACACUGCGGUUACUAGAGAAGAGGACAUCAAAAGAGUGAGAGUGAGAGUGAGGCGAGUUGAGGUAUGUCCAAACAGUGAGGUGCAUGCUGUUCUGUCAAAGUAUCAAGAGGGAAAUUCUCUGGUCCUGUGCAUCCUGCAACUCUUAAUGGCCCAUUUUAAAGAGAGAACAGAAUCCCUUCUAAUUGAAGCUGAUGUAGCAGCAACUGCAACCGACAUGGAAAGAAAUGGAUUACCGGAUUCACACGCACUGAUCUUUCAAGG